rnacentral:rRNA from 1 species
UACGAAGGGGGCUAGCGUUGCUCGGAAUCACUGGGCGUAAAGCGCACGUAGGCGGAUCUUUAAGUCAGGGGUGAAAUCCUGGAGCUCAACUCCAGAACUGCCUUUGAUACUGGGGAUCUCGAGUCCGGAAGAGGUGAGUGGAACUCCGAGUGUAGAGGUGAAAUUCGUAGAUAUUCGCAAGAACACCAGUGGCGAAGGCGGCUCACUGGCCCGAUACUGACGCUGAGGCACGAAAGCGUGGGGAGCAAACGGG